GACGAAGGUGGCGAGCGUUGUUCGGAAUCACUGGGCAUAAAGCGCACGUAGGCGGCGGCGUAAGUCGGAUGUGAAAUCCCUCGGCCUAACCGAGGAACUGCGUCCGAUACUGCGUUGCUUGGGGACCAAAGGGGUGCAUGGAAUUUCCGGUGGAGCGGUGAAAUUCGUAGAUAUCAGGAGGAACACCAGUGGCGAAGGCGGCUUCCUGGACACCAACUGACGCUGAGACGCGAAAGCGUGGGGAGCAAACAGG
rnacentral:rRNA from 1 species